CACUGUAGUCAAAGAUCAGCGAUCCCCGUGGAGAGAUGUCAGAUACGCAGAAGAACGUAAACCUGUGAUACCCGUGCAUCCAAGAUUGAGACUGGCAGGCCCAGUGGACAAGAGGUGGUUAUCCCCCAAGGUUGGCGGAUCCCAGCAUUGGAAGUCCAUAUGAAUGUCGAAUUUAAGGCCUGGAGUUUAGGGUUCCUUGAUUGGUACUUUUGAAGACCCUGACCUGGAGUUACACGCUGACUUCGGUUCGUUGCGGAAAUGGUACCCGCUCUUGGGGCCUCACGACCGGCCGCUUUUCGAUAUUCCAAGGAUGCAGCCUGGAAGACUAGCACGCCUUCAGGAUUCUGGAUUUUCAUGGCUCUGGAGGCCAGUGGAUUCAAGGCCGGUGCUGUCGCCUGAUGCGUCGUGGGAGACGGAAGAUCGCCUAUCCACAGCUUCCAGCAGCUUCUGCACUCAAUUUGAAUGAUGACGACAAACAAUAGGCUCUUCCUGAUCAUCUGCUACGUCUGCAGCUUUUGCUGAAAUGGACAAUUCCCGACACACAUUAGAAGUGACUUUGCCCACAGAUGUUGCCUGAUCUGCUGGAUUUGUGACUAUGAGUGUCAUGAAAAACCUCGGCAAAGCUCGGCUCCAUGUCAGGCUGUAAGAAAGCAGAUGAAAAGUGAAAUUAAAGCUGUCACUCCUGCUC